GAGUUUGAUCAUGGCUCAGAUUGAACGCUGGCGGCAUGCCUUACACAUGCAAGUCGAACGGCAGCACGGGAGCUUGCUCCUGGUGGCGAGUGGCGAACGGGUGAGUAAUGCAUCGGAACGUAUCCUGGAGUGGGGGAUAACGUAGCGAAAGUUACGCUAAUACCGCAUAUUCUGUGAGCAGGAAAGCGGGGGACCUUCGGGCCUCGCGCUCUUGGAGCGGCCGAUGUCGGAUUAGCUAGUUGGUGAGGUAAAGGCUCACCAAGGCGACGAUCCGUAGCAGGUCUGAGAGGAUGAUCUGCCACACUGGAACUGAGACACGGUCCAGACUCCUACGGGAGGCAGCAGU
rnacentral:rRNA from 1 species